ACGAAAGAGCAAUAAGUGAGGUUUAAAGUCCCAACAUUUACCUGGUGUCAAUCAGACUGUAAGACUUACAUGUAUACUUUAAGCCAUAGGCUAACUAACUUCCAACAUUAUUUUAAGAUGCAGUUUAGCAGAAGGAAAAUGGAAUAGCAUAAAGUGUUUGAUUAAAUUGAAGGAAGACAAGAAAGGUAAGAACGUGGACACAUCAAACUAAUAACACAGACCCAGAAGCCACGUGUCAUCAGCUUUCUAAACCCAGCCACUCCCUGCUUAGAAGGGACACUUUAAACAUCUGAAUAUGAACAGGUUGAAAGUGCAGAUAUGAACCAUGACAUCAUACAAACCGUGACAAAGAGGAGUUGAGGAUCACUGCCUUCAGAAGGCACCAAUGGAGUUAAAGUGUGUCUCAUAAGGAGAAAGGGGUCUAUGGUAAGCUGGGUAGGGACCCCAGGUGCCCAGAGUCUGAAAGUUACCUUAGGUCAGAGGGAAUUCUGCAGGUACACAUUUCAGAGUUGAGAGAUGAACUGUUAUCCUGGUGUACAUAGGAAGGCACUGUGCACUCACAGGCAGCCUUCAAGGAGGGAGGACAGAGCAGAUGUAACUCUGUACCAAAGCCUGUGGUACUGUAGGUGAAGGUGAAAUGAAGAGUGCCAGCCACCUCCAGAUGCCAGAGGAGGAAGGAAAUGCUUCUCCUCUCAGGCCUCUGCUGGUCAUGGAUGUGCACAGUGAUGCUAAGCUUCCUUUCUCGUCUCCAGAACUAUGCAAAUAAGCAUAUUUCGGUUUCAUUAAAUCACCAAGCUUGAGUCAAUUUGACACCGCCAUAGGAAGUUAAUUAACCAAUACAGUGUGGCUGAGUCCUAGUGGCUCAUCAGUAGCAUGGCUGGGAAGUACACACAGUGUCAACAUGGACUUGCCGCAAAGAGAAAUCGAUGCACUCCCCAGCUAGUAGGUGUUACUGUACACCUCAGAAGAGCUGUAAAGGAGCAGGACUGUGGGCAGCUGUACCCUUGACCCCAAUGGCAUGUGCAGAACACCAUGUCUGCAAGUGACGGCCAUGUCUUUUCCAAAUGCCUGAGAAAGAGGAAAGAGGGUCACAGAGCUGAUUGGUUUAAAAAAAAAAAAGUUUUAACAGUAUUCCAAAAUUUUAAAUCACUUAGCAUUUUUCUGACCAAAUAGAUUAAGCUAAUAAAUAAGU
rnacentral:lncRNA from 1 species